rnacentral:lncRNA from 1 species
ACAAGGGCCUGUCCUGGCUUCCAUUUUUGAUGGUGCAAUUUUGCAUCCGCAGUAGACUCGCAGGCAGAAACAGGAAAGUCAGUGGGGGCUGCACAUUGUUCAGCACCUUUGGGGAAAAAAAUCAGGCCACUUUCUAUUUAGAUGGUCAGACGUGGAUUUAGGAGCCAAAAUUUAAGGACCCCGGUUGGAAAAUGUUGGCCCUAGCUACUUGAUUUGUAGGCAUGGGUUUCCUGGCUCUUAUGGGUUUCAGUUCCAGUCUGAUUUCUAGACGACAGAGGUUUGGUGAAGCAUGUGUACUUCUGUAUCCUCCUCCAAACUGUACGGAGAUUCUUUCAUUCCACUGCACCCUGACAAGUGGACUUAGCCUCCUGCAGACAGCAUGCUUUAGAAUUCAUGCAGCUUCAUCUCAUGAUAGUUACGUUCAGGAAGACCAUUGCAGUAGAUUUCUUUACCAUUGGGAAGUUCAAACCCAUCCAACAUUAAUCACUUUACUUCAAAGCCUGGAGCUUGGCCUUGGAUACAUGGUGCUCCCAAGGAGGCAGGAAGAACGUUCAGUCCCCGUAAGAAAAGAACUCCUCUAGUGUAGUGCCUAUCAAGUUUCUAACAAGCCUGAUGCUUCUGACUUCCAACUGGCACAGUCUGCUUGAGCAGUGGGUGCCGAGCGCCGGGGCAGGAAAGGGAAAGGUGGGAUGCUGCAUUUCUGCUGAAAACUGACAUGACGUGGAGAAUUUGUAAUGGUACCUUUUGGGGGGUCAGAGGCCUGAUUCACCGCUAAGUUCCUCCAGUUCUGUGCUUGCAUAGCACUGGGCUAGUGCUAUGGAGACUCAGGCCCAUGGUUCACACUGAUGUGAUGACAAUCCCGCUGGCUUGGAACUCCUUGGACACCAGAGGGAAGCUUCCUUGCUACGAUUGCUUCCUCAAAACAGCCGGGGACGGAAACGUCGGAGCCAGACGCAAGCCAAGCACCGUGAGAGCCGAAGGCAGGGUCCAUCCCCACAGGCUGUGUUGGAGUCCAGAGAUGCCGUUGGCUGCUCUGAGAUUAAGCACCUUGCAUUGUUUUCGGUCUCAGACUGGAUCCCGAUGGAAAGCCCAAGGGAAGACACACACUGACGUCAGUGGGCAUUGGAUCCAGCCCUGGGUUCUCAACAGACUCUCCCAUUAUCCUGCUCAGUCGUGUCUGAAGACGAAGGAAGUUGAGGUGCCUGCCCCAAGGAACUUGAGGAUACUGGCUCAGAGCUCUCUUGACAUGGGCUGUCUCUUAUGAGCCAGAAGGACUGUUUGUAUUAACAACAGGCCAAAUCCUGAGGUAUGCCCAUGCCUUGAAUACUGCGAGCAGUUCUGAUCACCCCAUCUCAAAAAUAUAUUUGGAAAAUAUACAGAAAAGGACAAUAAAAAUGAUUAGUGGUGUGGACCA